AGUGAACGCUGGCGGCAGGCCUAACACAUGCAAGUCGAGCGGCAGCGCGUCCGACCACCCUCGGGUGGUCGGAUGGCGGCGAGCGGCGGACGGGUGAGGAAUGCAUCGGAAUCUGCCUCGUUGUGGGGGAUAACGUAGGGAAACUUACGCUAAUACCGCAUACGACCUACGGGGGAAAGCAGGGGAUCUUCGGACCUUGCGCUAAUAGAUGAGCCUAAGUCGGAUUAGCUAGUUGGUGGGGUAAAGGCCUACCAAGGCGACGAUCUGUAGCGGGUCUGAGAGGAUGAUCCGCCACACUGGAACUGAGACACGGUCCAGACUCCUACGGGAGGCAGCAGUGGGGAAUUUUGGACAAUGGGCGCAAGCCUGAUCCAGCCAUGCCGCGUGAGUGAAGAAGGCCU
rnacentral:rRNA from 1 species